GAUGAACGCUGGCGGCGUGCCUAAUACAUGCAAGUAGAACGCUGAAGGAGGAGCUUGCUCUUCUGGAUGAGUUGCGAACGGGUGAGUAACGCGUAGGUAACCUGCCUGGUAGCGGGGGAUAACUAUUGGAAACGAUAGCUAAUACCGCAUGACAACAGUUAUUGCAUGAUAACUGUUUAAAAGGGGCAGCUGCUCCACUACCAGAUGGACCUGCGUUGUAUUAGCUAGUUGGUGAGGUAACGGCUCACCAAGGGGACGAUUCAUAGCCGACCUGAGAAGGGGGUCGGCCAACCCGGGACUGGGGCCCCGCCCCGGACCCUUCGGGGGGCCGCCGUAGGGGAUCCUCGGAAAUGGACGGAAGUCUUGCCGAGCAACGGCGCCUUGGUGGAGAAGGUUCUCGGAUCGUAAAGCUCUGUUGUAAGGGAAGGACGAGUGUGAGAGUGGAAAGUGCACACUGUGACGGUAUCUUACCAGAAAGGGACGGCUAACUACGUG
rnacentral:rRNA from 1 species